rnacentral:sRNA from 1 species
GAAUGGAAAGGAUGUGAAAAUUUGACUCAGAAGGUUUGGGCUCAAGCCCAGUCUUGUGAGUUUACUGUACAACCUGCAAGGAAUCACUUUACCUCUCUGAGCCUCAGGGGCAGAUUCAAGAGCAGAUCCAAGUCUUGCAGCAAAAGGAGAAGGAGACAGUACAAGUGAAGGCACAAGGUGUACACAGGGUCGAUGUCUUCACGGACCAGGUAGAACAUGAGAAGCAAAGGAUCCUCACAGAAUUUGAACUCCUGCAUCAAGUCCUAGAGGAGGAGAAGAAUUUCCUGCUAUCACGGAUUUACUGGCUGGGUCAUGAGGGAACGGAAGCGGGGAAACACUAUGUUGCCUCCACUGAGCCACAGUUGAACGAUCUCAAGAAGCUCGUUGAUUCCCUGAAGACCAAGCAGAACAUGCCACCCAGGCAGCUGCUGGAG